rnacentral:rRNA from 1 species
ACGCUCGACACCUACGGGAGGCAGCAGUGGGGAAUAUUGCACAAUGGGGGAAACCCUGAUGCAGCGACGCCGCGUGAGCGAAGAAGUAUUUCGGUAUGUAAAGCUCUAUCAGCAGGGAAGAAGAAAGACGGUACCUGACUAAGAAGCCCCGGCUAACUACGUGCCAGUAGCCGCGGUAAUCUGAGCGGGCUGGCAAGGC